UGCUACACUCCUAUCGCUACCUCCUCGUGGUACUGGUCGGGGUACGAGCUGUGGUCGUAUGUUGACAGGGAUGG
rnacentral:ribozyme from 1 species